rnacentral:misc_RNA from 1 species
AGAGAAAAAAAUAUGAAUUAAUUAAUUACAAAAUCCAUGUCACACAUGGUCAUUUAAGUACACAUUAACAUUAUAAUACAAUUUAUUUAACAGAAAUUCAUAAAAAACUUUCUUGAAUACUAUCAGUGGUAAAUCCUUAUAAGUGCCUGGUAUUUUAUUGUAUAUUCGAAUUGACAUACAGUAAGCAUCGUUGUGUUACUUGUCGAUGUAAUUAAAGUCGGUUUUUUUUCGUUUGCGAGCAAAUACAAUUAUAUAAGUAUAGAUACAGUAAAACAACCCGCG